GAGCCAGUGGGGUGUAGUGGUUUCAUUGCUGGACCAUGACUCCGGAGACCAGGGUUUGAUUCCCUGCUUGGUCA